AUUAUUCUAUGAUUUUAUUUUUGGUAUUUCACUGUGCGGGUUUUUUUCACAUACUUGUAAUUCUCAAUUGUUAGUUAAUUUUUUAAGGGAUACUUCGUGGUGGAUUUCCAAGAUUUCAGUCAUUAUUUUUUAUGGUGAAUAAAUAUUGCCCCAGAAUUGGUUCCCACCCUCCCGUCUCCCAUGGUGGGCCACUAUUGCUGUCAUGUAUCUUUGGUAAAGAACCCCAAGCUCAGAUAUAGUCGAGUGUUAUUUCUCAUGUUUGUAGCCCCAAUAAAGGGGUUUUGGUUGUGAACUUGUGUUGAAUAAUGUCACCAUUCAUUUGCAGGCAGAUAUUUCAGAAUGUUUAUUUCUGUUAUCAUUAUUGCUUUGGACCAUUGCUCUUCUGAGUGUUAAGACCACAGAUUUUUACUCACACUUAUAAUCCUAAUUCAGUUCAACAUCAUUUCUCAGACAUGCAAUUUUACUCAUUCUAAGUUUUCUUUUAUUCUUCUUGCAUUUCUCUCAUAUAGAGUUUUCCUCUCCUUGUUUUCAAAUGUAAUCUUUAUUGGGCGCUAUUGAUAUUCUCAGCAUGUUAGAACGAAAGCCCAGAGUCAAGUAACUAAUAUACAGAAACUUACAGGAAGGAAGGAGCAAUUUUCAAGGACACUUUAUGUCGUGUAAUUUCCUCUGUAUACAAGACCUAAGAAUUUGAAUGGAUAACAAAUGAACAGUUAUGUUAGAAAAUGUACUUGAUCGUACACUUCUCAGAGUGAAGAGCCAAACAUCUUGUGCAUGCAAAUUUUAUACUCUGAUGGUGAUUGCAUAUACCACAGGACAUGCCCCUCAGAGGCAUCACCCCAAACUAGGAAAGUUUGAUUCCCCCAAACCUUAAUACACAAAAACUAGUUUUACUUUGUAAUACUGUUUGACCUAAAAAGUGAAUCAGAAGGAAAUUACAACAGUCAGCUUUGGAAUCCGGUGCCCCUGUGAAGGAGGCCCUCAGAUUAGCCUCCUCAGUCUUUUGUAACUGAAAGUUGAAUAAGGACGGAAGGGCUAAGAAAAAGGUAAAAACAGUGAGAGGCAGGCUUAACUAUUGGCUGCUAUGUAAGCUCACCAGCCCCCUUCAGGUUGCCCUAAGGACACUCUCCAAGUAUCUGCCAUUUGUGCUGGAAGCAGGCCACUGGAAGGCAAACUGUACCAAUGGGAUUAAUAGGAAAAAACCCCACAGUGCUUGCUCCCUCUGCCACAAGUUUGUCAUUGGAAUGGGUCACAGAAUACCAACACUUGAUAGCCUCAAGCUGAAGGGACUUUUGGCUCCAGCCUGUUCCCAGAUUAGACAUCUUCAUCAACAGGACAAAGCCAAGAUCAACUCUGGAAGCAGCAAGUAAAAUUAUAAGUUUACCUUUUGGGUUCAAGAGCUGCAUACUUUGUGUUCAUAUCCUUUUCUAAGCAGUUCCUCCCAAUCUUUUUGGGUAAUGGGAACAAAUGGCACUCACUCCCUCCAAAAGAAAAUAUUCACACCCCUUGGGGCAAAAAUAUACUUUUCAAGAAGGGUGACUGCUUAAUAUUUACCUGACCUCUAAAUUGUCUUUCUCUUUAAUAUCCCUAUUUCUCCUGUGUCAAUGAAAAAUCAAACUCUAAAAUAUUGGAAUGACCAUGGCUUGUGACACAGCCCUCAGGAGGUUCUGAAAACAUGUGCCCAAUGUGGUCAGGGUGCAGCUUGGUUUUAUACAUUUUAGGGAGACAUGAGACUUCAAUCAAAUACAUGUAAGAAAUACAUUGGUUUGGUCCGGAAACCUGGGACAACUCUGAGCAAGGGGGGCUUCAGCUUAUAGGUAGAUUUAAAAAUUGCAUGGUUGACAAUUUGUUGAGUUUAUCUAAAGACCUGGUGAUAGCAGCAAGAGACAGACAAAUGCCUAUGCACAUAGGGGUGACUCCCUGAUGAAUCCCCACCUCCAAUCUGAAGACAGUUUAAAGCCUGAAAGCCAAGCUAUAAGUCAAAUCUACAGACUGGACUGAGAACCUGACUUCCCAUUUGGCAUGCUUUCUUCUGAUUGAUCCCCACUUUUUACCUAUUUUACAUUUACCUACCCUUUCCUAAUUGGUUUUCUAUGCUGUUGUGCCCACCUUUGAGUGGUGUCUUCACUUAACCUUUUUUGCCUACUCACAAACCAAUCAUCAUACACUCCCCAUUCCAAGUCCAUAAAAAAACCCCAUAUCUAGCCACACUGAGAAAGAAACCCACCCAACUGGUGGGAAGGGGGGCCACCCAUUACAUCCCCUCUUUGCUUACAGCUCUUCAUCAUUCAAUAAAAUUCUUCUCCACCCAUCCUCACUCUUCUAAUUGUCAGUGCAAUCUCAUUCUUCUUGGAUGCAGGACAAGAGCUUGGAAACUGG
rnacentral:lncRNA from 1 species